rnacentral:rRNA from 1 species
GUAGGUGGCAAGCGUUGUCCGGAAUUAUUGGGCGUAAAGCGCGCGCAGGCGGUUCUUUAAGUCUGAUGUGAAAGCCCACGGCUCAACCGUGGAGGGUCAUUGGAAACUGGAGAACUUGAGUACAGAAGAGGAAAGCGGAAUUCCACGUGUAGCGGUGAAAUGCGUAGAGAUGUGGAGGAACACCAGUGGCGAAGGCGGCUUUCUGGUCUGUAACUGACGCUGAGGCGCGAAAGCGUGGGGAGCAAACAGGAUUAGAUACCCUGGUAGUCCACGCCGUAAACGAUGAGUGCUAAGUGUUAGGGGGGUCUUCCCGCCCCUUAGUGCUGCAGCUGACGCAUUAAGCACUCCGCCUGGGAGUACGGCCGCAAGGCUG